UAACCACUCAAGCUCUCGCUUGGUAUUGGGGUUCGCGGUUUCGCGGCCCCUAAAAUCAGUGGCGGUGCCUGUCGGCUCUACGCGUAGUAAUACUUCUCGCGAUUGAGUCCGAUAGGUCUACUUGCCAGUAACCCCCAAUUUUUACA
rnacentral:misc_RNA from 1 species